CGUAUCCUGCUAUGUGCGUGAUGGUGCAAAACCGUUUUGAGCCAACACCCACAAAUUGGGAAUGUUUGUGUGAUAUUAAUGUGAUAGGCCUGAGCCAAGACAGCAAUAUCAGUCGCAUUCCCACCCUGCGAAAGCAGGUUCAAAACAUUGUGACACACGACAUGGCAGGAGUUUU
rnacentral:other from 1 species